rnacentral:misc_RNA from 1 species
AAUUUAGUUGUUGGACCUGUACUGAUUUUCUAUUAAUGACGACCUGAAAUAUAAAAUCAGUACAGGUCCAACAACUAAAUUUCACAUGCAACAUAGCUUACACCUUAUUCAACACUCUUGCCUUCAAUACAUUGGCAAUUUGGCAUAUUCACUACAAACCAACCAAAGAUUGUAGGGCCCUUAGUUGAAAAUUGGACUUCUAUAACUGCGGUGGCCAGUAUGAGUCCUCUUCAUAAGAUGUCAUCAAGAAUGGCAGACAACAAUAGCCCUUGAACAAAUUCACUCCUCUUGGCUUUCUCUUCCUGAUCCUUAACUGACAGGGGAGAUGACUUCAUAUUUCGCUCUAAAACAUUCUCAUCCAAGCUUUUCUUGGCUGAGCUUGUUUCAUUUGAAAAAGAAGGUUGAGCACUUGCAAAAUCAUCAGCCAUGGGCAAAAUGAAUGAAGACAACAAAGGAUCAGGCGCUGCAUUGGAUGAGGAAACUAUACAGGAAGAACCCCCAAAAAGAGAUUGUAGAUUUCCUUCUCGGAGCUCUUUCCUCAAUAAAGUAAGAGUAGAAUGAUGUCCAACUUUCCGUGAUUUCCUCUUCCGCCCAUUAUUUGCCUCCAUGGGAUGCUCAUCAUCAAUAUGACAGCACAACCCAACAAUAUCAAAAUAUUCUGAACAGAAUGGACAAGGAAAUUCCUCCCUUAUAUCAUUAUCUCCAUCAGUUUCUUCAAAACCCAUAAACACGUCAGAUCGCGAUUGAAGGACUGAUUGGUAUCGCUUAGAGCCCGAAGAGAUACGAACGCUCCACGAAUCAGCAUCCAUAGCUCCCUUUUUAAGGAAAUAAAAUUAGAGCUCAAAAAUCCCAAGAGAAAUGUGGGUAGUGGGGAAUUUGAUGGAUUGUUGAGCUGUGAUCUUGAAUUAUUCUAGGGCAUUAAAAAAAUGAGAAAUUGAAAAGGGAAAUCAUGAUACUUAUAAGGUAGGUUUAGGGGAGGGGCUGAGGAGCAAUACUAUUUCGUGUCCCUCUUCUUUCUUUUCUUCUCCUGAGUAAAUUUCUCGCAGAAAAGGGAAAUCAUGAUACUUAUAAGGUAGGUUUAGGGGAGGGGCUGAGGAGCAAUACUAUUUCGCGUCCCUCUUCUUUCUUUUCUUCUCCUGAGUAAAUUUCUCGCAGAAAAGGGAAAUCAUGAUACUUAUAAGGU